AGGUGGAAUGGUGAAUCUUGAAGCGAAAGUACCAAACGGUACGAGCACUUUCUGGCCCUAUAGCUUGAGUUGAAGCCUGGGAUAAAGGUCGUUUUUCUUAUGAAGAUCAAAUAACCCAUGGUUUUGGAUGUCAAGUGUGGAAUAGGCAGACCAUUAAGAGAAAUUCCAAGAUUUAGGUUUAAUUCCCGUUUCGCGCUUUCACCUCUCUUCAUAUCUGUGAAUACUGAUGUGUUCGGGUUUAGACAUUCUCAUAUGCAUGAUUAAUGCAACUGAAGUGAUUCAUGUUUUUCUUACUUUGAACUGAAAACCUGUGGGGGCAUGAUUUUGAGGAGGCGAUCCCGAGCACCAAUAAGUUAGAGAAGUUCGACCUCAACCUUUCCAGGAAUUAAUCUAUUUUGGAACGGAGGUACUAAGCAGUACUAAUACUUGUCUCUUCUGUUUGUAACCUAAAGAAGAUGUAUAAUUGUGUCUGUAAGUUAGAUAAGGACUAUUGGCUUUGUGAUAUUUUGUUAUCUGAUGUUUGUAACCUAAAAAAGAUAUAUAACUGAUCAAGCAACUGUUUUUUGGUGAUGAGGUCGCCACCAAGAACGGGUAACAUGGAGGCGUGCCUUAGCCUGGAGCCCAGCAAGAAGAUCGUCGGGAGCUUUGGGACAUUUGAGACGGCCGUUCUCCAUGUGGCCAACGCCAGCCAGCUGCAGGCAUUGCGCCGGCCUCGGCAGGAGUCGGUCAAGCCCAAUUGUAGCAUCUAUUGACCAAUGCAAGCUCCAUCAGGAUGUGCGUAGUGUCCAUAAGUUCCCUUUUGGCCAGUACAUGGAGAAAAAAACAUGGAAUGUACAACAAUCCUACAUGAAACAUUCUGAACGAAGUCUUAUUGAGCUACCCCUAGAAAUUUUUGCAGCUUCUGUGAACUCUUGUUUUAUGUUCUAUAGGGCCAACUUGCAUUUUCACGUCAAGCAUGGCUGAUUAUCAGAGGGCAAGGAAAGAUGGAGUAGCAGAAGCAUUGCUUACGAUGAGUUCAUCGGGUCAAUAGUGCACAUUAACAAGCAUUGCCUGUUGUCCGCCUUCGCCUACUUUGAUGAGGACGAUAGCGGGUACAUCACCGUUGACCGCUGGAAGAGGUGUGCUGGGAGUACAACACAAGCUGACCGGCAUCACGACAUCGCCAGGGAGGUCGGCAAUGACAACAUGCGAUGUUCAAAUUGACUAUGGAGAGUAUAUGACAACUCAUGCAGGUUCGUAAUGACUUGAAGAAAGCAUAUGAGAAGCGAGUAUAGGAGCUUUAAUAUUAGAGCAACAGGGGAGGAGCAAAUGAUUGAAGGGCUAUCAGCCGUGUAAAAGAAAGCUGAGGAUAACGUCACCAGGUGGAAAACUAUAUUUGGUUGACAUAAUAACACUAGCAAAGGUGAAUAACAAUGUAACAUUAUCUUUUCAUUAGUUGAUCCAUUCAACUUUUGUUUGAUAUGACUGGCAUGAUAUUUGGAUAGGAAAGUUAUUUGUUAACUUCGUAUCGUUUUUAUGUGCAAGCUAA